rnacentral:rRNA from 1 species
GUCCGCACCGUAAACGAUGAGCGCCCGUCAUCGGCGACAGAAUGUCGGUGACCAAGGGAAACCGUUAAGCGCUCCACCUGGGGAGUACGCCGGCAACGGUGAAACUCAAAGGAAUUGACGGGGGCCCGCACAAGCGGAGGAACAUGUGGUUUAAUUCGAUGAUACGCGAGGAACCUUACCCGGGCUUGAACUGCGCAGGACGUGGGUGGAGACGCCCAUUCCCCUCGGGGCCUGCGCGGAGGUGCUGCAUGGUUGUCGU